UAACAUAACAGGUGCAAAUGAAUGAUUAGUUAUUGCUUGACAUGUAAGAAAAAGUUACCACUUUAGUGGAAAAUGAUCUUUGAGGGGAAAAGACUGGUUUGUAACCAAUCACAGAGCAACUUGGCAGCCACGUCACGAUCUCCCUCACUUGGAUCCCCCCAGCAGGAACAGGUCACGUGAGGUUUCAGUAGAAGCUUGGAAACCGAGAAGAAAGGAUGUAUGCUGGUGGACGUGAAGACAAUUGCGUGUUAAGUGUAUAGAGUCUAGAUAACAACGUUCCAUGUUCAUGAUGGCCAUCCCUGACCUCAACGAGUGUCUGCACGUGUUCCUGGAAGAGGUCGCCGCAUUUUACAGCUUACAGCCCCAGCCACCCACCAGAACCAUCUGCCUCCUCAAAAUAAUUUUACUCCAACCUAGAACGAUGUUGAGCUGGGAAACCGGGAUGUUCGGGUAAUCAAGCAACUACUAUCAUCUAUUCAAGAAGACCACGGGGGUGAGGCGGUCAGCAUUGGCCUGCCGUGCUUCCUCCAGCCACUGGGAGGUGUGGGCUAAUGUCACGAUGUUGGUCACGUCAAAUACGAUCAUCACCGCUAGGAAACAAUAACUGGUGGGUUUAGAAA